AACGAACGCUGGCGGCAGGCCUAACACAUGCAAGUCGAACGUGAAGCCACCUUCGGGUGGCGGAAAGUGGCAGACGGGUGAGUAACGCGUGGGAACGUGCCUUUCGGUUCGGAAUAACCCAGGGAAACUUGGGCUAAUACCGGAUACGCCCUUCGGGGGAAAGAUUCAUCGCCGAGAGAUCGGCCCGCGUCGGAUUAGCUAGUUGGUAGGGUAAUGGCCUACCAAGGCGACGAUCCGUAGCUGGUCUGAGAGGAUGACCAGCCACACUGGGACUGAGACACGGCCCAGACUCCUACGGGAGGCAGCAGUGGGGAAUAUUGGACAAUGGGCGAAAGCCUGAUCCAGCCAUGCCGCGUGGGUGAAGAAGGCCCUAGGGUUGUAAACCCCUUUCAGCGGGGAAGAUAAUGACGGUACCCGCAGAAGAAGCCCCGGCUAACUCCGUGCCAGCAGCCGCCGUAAUAC
rnacentral:rRNA from 1 species